GAUGAAGAACGGAGUGAAAUGCGAUACUUGGUGUGAAUUGCAGAAUCCCGUGAACCAUCGAGUCUUUGAACGCAAGUUGCGCCCGAAGCCAUCAGGUUGAGGGCACGUCUGCCUGGGCGUCACAUAUCGUUGCCCAAUGCCUAUUGCAGUGCAAUAGGAAUUUCUAGGGCGAAUGAUGGCUUCCCGUGAGCGUUGUUGCCUCGCGGUUGGUUGAAAAUCGAGUCCUUGGUAGGGUGUGCCAUGGUAGAUGGUGGUCGAGUUAGAACGAUACCGAUCAUGUGCAUGCUCCCCAAAAUAUGGCCUCUAUGACCCACACGCGUCUUUUGACGCUCAUGACGAGACCUCAGGUCAGGCGGGGCUACCCGCUGAAUUUAAGCAUAUCAAUAAGCGGAGGA
rnacentral:misc_RNA from 1 species